GGGGGAUAUUGCGCAAUGGGGGCAACCCUGACGCAGCAACGCCGCGUGAAGGAUGAAGGUUUUCGGAUUGUAAACUUCUUUUAUUAAGGACGAAAAUGACGGUACUUAAUGAAUAAGCUCCGGCUAACUACGUGCCAGCAGCCGCGGUAAUACGUAGGGAGCAAGCGUUGUCCGGAUUUACUGGGUGUAAAGGGUGCGUAGGCGGCUUUACAAGUCAGAUGUGAAAUCUAUGGGCUCAACCCAUAAACUGCAUUUGAAACUGUAGAGCUUGAGUGAAGUAGAGGCAGGCGGAAUUCCCCGUGUAGCGGUGAAAUGCGUAGAGAUGGGGAGGAACACCAGUGGCGAAGGCGGCCUGCUGGGCUUUAACUGACGCUGAGGCACGAAAGCGUGGGUAGCAAACAGGAUUAGAUACCCUGGUAGUCCACGCUGUAAACGAUGAUUACUAGGUGUGGGGGGUCUGACCCCUUCCGUGCCGGAGUUAACACAAUAAGUAAUCCACCUGGGGAGUACGGCCGCAAGGUUGAAACUCAAAGGAAUUGACGGGGGCCCGCACAAGCAGUGGAGUAUGUGGUUUAAUUCGAAGCAACGCGAAGAACCUUACCAGGUCUUGACAUCCAACUAACGAAGUAGAGAUACAUUAGGUGCCCUUCGGGGAAAGUUGAGACAGGUGGUGCAUGGUUGUCGUCAGCUCGUGUCGUGAGAUGUUGGGUUAAGUCCCGCAACGAGCGCAACCCUUGCUAUUAGUUGCUACGCAAGAGCACUCUAAUAGGACUGCCGUUGACAAAACGGAGGAAGGUGGGG
rnacentral:rRNA from 1 species